AAUUAGAGAGGGAUGGAAGGAUGGAUGGAUGGACAGAUGGACAGGCAGAUAGGUGGAUAGACAGACAUGUGUAUAAGAGGAUAUUGGUUUAAAAUAUUGUGAAAUGCAUAUGAAUCUUCAAAAAGUGUCAAUUCUUAUUUUUUUCAACAUAAGGUUACUUAUGAAAAAGGUAGCAUGGAGACUUCUUUAACACUGAGAACCUUAGAGCUGAAUAGACACAAAAUCACAAGGAACUGUGAAUUGUAAUGUGCUUUCCUGACAUAGAAUUAGAAACCUUCACACACUUCUGUGAAGCCAGACAGCUUUGAAGGAUACAGAGGAGGACACACAGCUAUCAAUAUAUAGAAGGAGGAGAAGCUCCCUCAAGUAAAGAACAGCAAUAGAAGACAAGAACAACUGUCACCAGCCAGAAGAGGUGUCCAGUCUAUCUGCCUGGGUAGCAUCCUGAAGUCCAAUAGCGAGAGUCAUGGGGUAAGGCUAAGUUAAGUUGGCAGCUGCCCUGAUGGCAGGGAGGAGCUUAGAUUCAAUUCUGUAUGUAACCCAGAGGUAUUUGAGAAUUUUGAGCACAAACGGUUCAAUCCAAGUUCUUUAUCAAAAGAUCAUUCUGAUUGUAAUCUGAGGAACAGCAAGCAAAAUAAGGACACCAGGGAGGGCACUAAUCCAACAAUCUAAGGAAGAUAACACUAGAACUUAAAACUUGCAUCUGUGCAUGGUUUACAAGGAGAGGAGAUAUUAAAAGAACCUGCCACUUACCACUUUUCUCAUACUCUCAAGUUGUGUUCAAAGAAAAUUACAUUUUUAAAAUAUCGAUUAAUAUCCACACUAAUGUUUCUGUUGACACUGGUUGUCUGUGAUUCAAAAUUCUGUUUAACUUACCCUACGAUUUAUUUUGGUCUUUAUUUAUGAUGGUGUCUAAUUAUGCAGGCCGUAAUUGAUUUGAUUCUCACUAUGUAGAUCAGACUGGCUUCAAACUACCAGAGACCCCCCCCUGCCUCUGCCUACCUAGUGCUGAGAGUAACCAAGCCCAGUUUAUACUACGAUUUACAAUCCCUUACAUUCUAAUGAAAAAAAGAAUCACAAUAACCUUCAGUGUCUGCUCACUUGUAGACAGUAGGUACUACCUAAGGUCUCCUGUGAUUAGUUUUCUUCUCAUGGCAUUCUCUGUAGAAUAUCUGGCCCUAUUUAGUACAUUGCUAUAAGAGCAUUCCAUGGAAAACACUUACCUAAUACCUGUAGAUUCAUAGUCCUAGUAAAUGCCUUUUUAAGAACUAAUAGAAAAUGAUGUAUUCAAACUAUGAAGGAAAAGCUUGUCCAAGGUCAUACAGCCAGAUUCAAAGCCAUAUCUAAAGCUUCUAUCUUCCUACCUCAAAAGCCAUGGAAGACUGUAUGUUUGACUUUAUAGGUAUAUAUAGUCAUUAGCACUUAUUAACAGCGGUUGGGGGCCUGGAAGCAGGGCAGUCGGCUGAGGCUCCUCUCCUCUGGGAAGGACUUGGGGACGGGGGUCAUAGGGGUCGGGUGUGGUCAGCGGGCCUCAUUCACCAGUCCCUGAUCCCCCCACAGGAACAUCACUCCCACCCUGCCAUGCUCCCCGGAGACAUUACUCACUGCUCCGUGUCUGUUCAUUUUCCGUGAGGCUGAAAACUUAGUAAUGGCGGUGAAAGUGACAAAGGCGGGGGGGGGGGGGUUCGGGGGCCACCACGGGGUCGCGGAUCGAGUGGUCACAAUGAGCCAGAAAUCUAGGAAUGGAGGCGGUGACCACGGUAUUGGCGGGCGGAGCAAUUUUGGCUGGAGCAGCAAUGGCUUUGGAGGCGUGAUCGAGGGUUGCAGCGGGGUUGUGGGUCACCAUGUGGUCGGAGGUCACGGCAGGUCUGUGGAUGCACCGCAGCCCCACUCGCAGCGUGCUUUGUGUGCCAGGAUCCCUGAGGCAGCGCAGGAAGUGCUCAUCAACCUUCCUCUGUAAACAGGAUUGGAGCGGGGACGGAGGCGGCUUCUGGGGCGCCAUGGUGAACGCGGGAUCCCCACCUGGACAAUGUACCAACAUUUCCACCGCUUCAAAUUGCCCGCGGCUGAAACAGAGCCCGGGACUUCUGUCGAGGAGUGAUAGCGUCACCAGCGUUAACGCAAGAUCCAGGAACACAGAAGGAUAAGACGCGGCGUGAUGGCGUCACAGAGCGCGACGGGAAAACAGGAAGACAGUAGUGAAACGUCUUCAAUGACGGAGGCGUUGGCUUCCGGAGUCCCAUUGAGGACCUUGGGUCCAGGUCGGCACCGGGACGUAUGUACGUACUCAGGAAUCUGCGAUGGACACACCCGGUGCUCCCCCUGUUUCAAAACCCCCGCAAAGGACGCUUAGCCUGGCACUUCCGGCCAGGAGUGAUGGCGUCACGGGAAUCAGGAAGAGAGGAGGGCUGUGGAAAUAAAGGCAGAGCAGAGAUAUCUGGGCGUGGUCCAAUGUCCUGGUGUGACCACAGCAAACAGUAAGAGCGUGAGGAGGUGGGCGCCGCCUGAGGUCAUCACUGACCCGACCACAGGAAACAGGCCAAGUCACAGAACUGAACUAGGUAACUGGAGCCAUCCCGGCUUGAAAACGUCACAGGAGCCACAAAGUUACGGGAGAACCGGGUGAGAUGGUCCGAUGUGGCGCGGCAUGAAGUCGUCAUGAAGUGUGACAGUGACACCGCGACCAGGAUACAAUUAAAGAGUGACAUGCUCCAGGCACCGGCGCCCCGCGGCGCGACAGAAUAGCGACGGUCCUGAGGGACUCAGGCCGCGGCAUUCAAAGUGCUGACCCGGAAUCUUGAUGACUUUACUUGAUGGUGACAGCGGGGACUGGAUGCACACGCGCAGUCACGUCUUCUGAGGCUCUUCCCACAGCUUGGCACAAGUGUAUGUUACUGAUGUGCAGUGAGCUGUGCUUUGGGAUCCAGUGAAUGUCCGUCAUGGUGACAGGGGGCGGGGUAGAUGCUGUGAGUCUAGCCCUUUUCUUGCCCAUUCUGAUUCAAACAUUCCUAAAUGGUGAAAGAA
rnacentral:sRNA from 1 species